AUACAUAUAUAUACAACCUAUUAUUCUCUUUCUGGGAUAACUAAAAAUAUGAAAACUUUUCAUACGAACUAAUUUAUUUUUAGAUUCAUUGGAUGCGCCACAUACAUUGCCAGUUGUUCAAAUGAUGUGUGAAGGAAAAGAAAAUUGUGAUAUAAGUGUAAACAAUGAGACAUUCAAAAUUCUUUCUUUGAUAACAAAAUUUAAUAAACUUAUAAUAAAGUAUUCCUGUGUACCUUCUAAGCCAAGUUCCUUUCCGUCAUAUAACAUAAAAGCCAAAACAGGGAACGAUCAUAUUUGGGAUGUUCAAGUUGAAGGGAACACAUUAAAAAAAGAGUUGUAUCUUCAUGUGAAUGAUAUGUAAAUUAAAAAUUGAUUUAAACAUUUUGACAGUGUUGCGUGCGUAUAUAUACAUAUAUAUAUUUGCUGUUGUUUUUUUUUGUAUCAUUUCUAAACAUACAUACCUUAUUUGAUCAUAUUGCUAUUUAAUAGAAUUGCAACAUGUGAGAGCCCACUUCUUAUAAGAAAAUAUGUAGAUAU
rnacentral:lncRNA from 1 species